rnacentral:tRNA from 1 species
GCGCCUGUGGCUCAAAGGAGUAGGGCGCCGGCCUCACAUGCCAGAGGUGGUGGGUUCAAAUCCAACCCUGGCCA